rnacentral:rRNA from 1 species
CCUACGGGCGGCUGCAGUGGGGAAUAUUGGACAAUGGGGGGAACCCUGAUCCAGCCAUGCCGCGUGUGUGAAGAAGGCCCUCGGGUUGUAAAGCACUUUCAGUGAGGAAGAACGCCUGGAGGUUAAUACCCAUCAGGAAAGACAUCACUCACAGAAGAAGCACCGGCUAACUCCGUGCCAGCAGCCGCGGUAAUACGGAGGGUGCGAGCGUUAAUCGGAAUUACUGGGCGUAAAGCGCGCGUAGGUGGCUUGAUAAGCCGGUUGUGAAAGCCCCGGGCUCAACCUGGGAACGGCAUCCGGAACUGUCAAGCUAGAGUGCAGGAGAGGAAGGUAGAAUUCCCGGUGUAGCGGUGAAAUGCGUAGAGAUCGGGAGGAAUACCAGUGGCGAAGGCGGCCUUCUGGACUGACACUGACACUGAGGUGCGAAAGCGUGGGUAGCAAACAGGAUUAGAUACCCUGGUAGUC